rnacentral:rRNA from 1 species
AACGAACGCUGGCGGCAUGCCUAACACAUGCAAGUCGAACGAGACCUUCGGGUCUAGUGGCGCACGGGUGCGUAACGCGUGGGAACCUGCCCUUAGGUUCGGAAUAACUCCCCGAAAGGGGUGCUAAUACCGGAUAAUGUCUUCGGACCAAAGAUUUAUCGCCUUUGGAUGGGCCCGCGUUGGAUUAGCUAGUUGGUAGGGUAAAAGCCUACCAAGGCGACGAUCCAUAGCUGGUCUGAGAGGAUGAUCAGCCACACUGGGACUGAGACACGGCCCAGACUCCUAGGGGAGGAAGAAGGGGGAAAUAUUGAAAAAUGGGGAAACGCCUGACACAGCAUCGCCGCGUGAGAGAUAAGGGCUUUGGGGUUGAAAGGCUUUUUUCCCGGGGAUUAUAGGGACAGGCCGGGAAAAAUAGCCUCCGGCAACCUCCGGC